rnacentral:lncRNA from 1 species
UCAUGAAAAGCUUCCGGAUGUGGGAAGUAAGGGAAGCAUGCUCUUUCCGCAUCUCGGCAGCAUGUUUAGUGUUGCUGGAGAUCAAACAAAAAAUGAAGAGUGGGAUGAAGAAAGCCUUGCCAGAGAGGGUGAUGAUUAUGCAUCUGAGGCUGCAGCUGAAGAAUCUGAUGACAAUUUGCAUAGCCCACUGAUAUCUCGUCAGGCAACAAGCAUGGAAAAGGACAUGGUUCCGCCUCCAUCUCGUGGAAGUUUUCUUAGCGAUGAUUAUGCAUCUGAGGCUGGAGCUGAAGAAUCUGAUGACAAUUUGCAGAGCCCACUGAUAUCUCGUCAGGCAACAAGCAUGGAAAAGGACAUGGUUCCGCCUCCACCUCGUGGAAGUUUUUUUAGCAUGAUG